rnacentral:rRNA from 1 species
AGUGAACGCUGGCGGUAGGCCUAACACAUGCAAGUCGAACGGCAGCACAGUAAGAGCUUGCUCUUACGGGUGGCGAGUGGCGGACGGGUGAGGAAUACAUCGGAAUCUACUUUUUCGUGGGGGAUAACGUAGGGAAACUUACGCUAAUACCGCAUACGACCUACGGGUGAAAGCAGGGGAUCUUCGGACCUUGCGCGAUUGAAUGAGCCGAUGUCGGAUUAGCUAGUUGGCGGGGUAAGGGCCCACCAAGGCGACGAUCCGUAGCUGGUCUGAGAGGAUGAUCAGCCACACUGGAACUGAGACACGGUCCAGACUCCUACGGGAGGCAGCAGUGGGGAAUAUUGGACAAUGGGCGCAAGCCUGAUCCAGCCAUACCGCGUGGGUGAAGAAGGCCUUCGAGUUGUAAAGCCCUUUUGUUGGGAAAGAAAAGCAGCAGGUUAAUACCCCGCUGUUCUGACGGUACCCAAAGAAUAAGCACCGGCUAACUUCGU